AUAAGGACUCUCGGCAACGGAUAUCUCGGCUCUCGCAUCGAUGAAGAACGUAGCGAAAUGCGAUACUUGGUGUGAAUUGCAGAAUCCCGUGAACCAUCGAGUCUUUGAACGCAAGUUGCGCCCGAAGCCAGCAGGCUGAGGGCACGUCUGCCUGGGUGUCACG
rnacentral:rRNA from 1 species